UACGUAGGGACCAAGCGUUGUUCGGAAUUACUGGGCGUAAAGGGCGCGUAGGCGGUGUGUCAAGUCGGGUGUGAAAGCCCCGGGCUCAACCUGGGAAUUGCAUUCGAGACUGCGUAGCUAGGGUGCGGAAGAGGGAAGCGGAAUUUCCGGUGUAGCGGUGAAAUGCGUAGAUAUCGGAAGGAACACCAGUGGCGAAAGCGGCUUCCUGGUCCAGCACCGACGUUCAGGCACGAAAGCGUGGGGAGCAAACAGG
rnacentral:rRNA from 1 species